CUCCCUCCCAGACCCUCCCACCUCCUGGACAGCAUCCAUUUUCAAAAUGGAUGCUGUCCAGGAGGUGGGAGGGUCUGGGAGGGAG